AAUCGCCCUGAUCCUUUUGCUGCAAUCCUUUAAAUACCUCAGACCAAGACAAACAUCCCCCGAGAUGAAGACAGAAACUAACUAUUGGAAUUUGCAUUAACUCAGGACCCUAGGAAAGGGCACUCCCAUCACAGUAAUCAAGAUAUCUCUUGACUCUUCGGAUCUGUAUUAUCUUCUAAUCUACUUUUGUAAGACUGAGACCAUUGUACCAGUUGCACUGAGACAUUUCCAAUGAUACUAGACAUGAAUGUUAGUUCACUUGCAUUGACAUUUUCAUGUAAUCAUUUUGAGCAGACUGAGUAGAAGGAAGAAUGGGUGAAGGGAUUUAAAAUGAAACAAAUGGCCAGAAGGGGAGGAGGUCUCCUGCUCCUCCACUCUGUGGGGUGUCUCGAAGAUGCCCGUGUAUGUUUGUAUUGUCUGUUUCUCAGGAGAUCAAAGUAUCUCAGGUUCUUUCAUCCUUACACCUUUAUUUGACUUGUUCCUAACAGUUACAU